GACGAACGCUGGCGGCGUGCUUAACACAUGCAUUUCGAACGGAAAGGCCCUGCUUUUGUGGGGUGCUCGAGUGGCGAACGGGUGAGUAACACGUGAGUAACCUGCCCUUGACUUUGGGAUAACUUCAGGAAACUGGGGCUAAUACCGGAUAGGAGCUCCUGCUGCAUGGUGGGGGUUGGAGAGUUUCGGCGGUUGGGGAUGGACUCGCGGCUUAUCAGCUUGUUGGUGGGGUAGUGGCUUACCAAGGCUUUGACGGGUAGCCGGCCUGAGAGGGUGACCGGCCACAUUGGGACUGAGAUACGGCCCAGACUCCUACGGGAGGCAGCAGUGGGGAAUAUUGCACGAUGGGCGGAAGCCUGAUGCAGCAACGCCGCGUGCGGGAUGACGGCCUUCGGGUUGUAAACCGCUUUCGCCUGUGACGAAGCGUGAGUGACGGUAAUGGGUAAAGAAGCACCGGCUAACUACGUGCCAGCAGCCGCGGUGAUACGUAGGGUGCGAGCGUUGUCCGGAUUUAUUGGGCGUAAAGGGCUCGUAGGUGGUUGAUCGCGUCGGAAGUGUAAUCUUGGGGCUUAACCCUGAGCGUGCUUUCGAUACGGGUUGACUUGAGGAAGGUAGGGGAGAAUGGAAUUCCUGGUGGAGCGGUGGAAUGCGCAGAUGUCAGGAGGAACACCAGUGGCGAAGGCGGUUCUCUGGGCCUUUCCUGACGCUGAGGAGCGAAAGCGUGGGGAGCGAACAGGCUUAGAUACCCUGGUAGUCCACGCUGUAAACGGUGGGUACUAGGUGUGGGGUCCAUUCCACGGGUUCCGUGCCGUAGCUAACGCUUUAAGUACCCCGCCUGGGGAGUACGGCCGCAAGGCUAAAACUCAAAGGAAUUGACGGGGCCCCGCACAAGCGGCGGAGCAUGCGGAUUAAUUCGAUGCAACGCGUAGAACCUUACCUGGGUUUGACAUGGAUCGGGAGUGCUCAGAGAUGGGUGUGCCUCUUUUGGGGUCGGUUCACAGGUGGUGCAUGCCUGUCGUCAGCUCGUGUCGUGAGAUGUUGGGUUAAGUCCCGCAACGAGCGCAACCCUUGUUCACUGUUGCCAGCACGUUAUGGUGGGGACUCAGUGGAGACCGCCGGGGUCAACUCGGAGGAAGGUGGGGAUGACGUCAAGUCCUCAUGCCCCUUAUGUCCAGGGCUUCACGCAUGCUACAAUGGCUGGUACAGAGAGUGGCGAGCCUGUGAGGGUGAGCGAAUCACGGAAAGCCGGUCUCAGUUCGGAUUGGGGUCUGCAACUCGACCUCAUGAAGUCGGAGUCGCUAGUAAUCGCAGAUCAGCAACGCUGCGGUCAAUAAAAGCGCCGGGGCU
rnacentral:rRNA from 1 species